UGGAGGUGAUGAGCUGUUUUGGCCUGACCUUUGGAGUGGAGGCAAAAAUACUGAUUUAAUGAGCCUGAUCC
ensembl:snoRNA Snord57 small nucleolar RNA, C/D box 57